rnacentral:rRNA from 1 species
ACAUGCAAGUCGAACGAGAAAGUGGAGCAAUCCAUGAGUAAAGUGGCGCACGGGUGAGUAACACGUGACUAACCUACCCUUGAGUGGGGGAUAACCUGGAGAAAUCCGGGCCAAUACCGCAUAACACCUACGGGUCAAAGGAGCAAUUCGCUUAAGGAGGGGGUCGCGGCAGAUUAGCUAGUUGGCGGGGUAAUGGCCCACCAAGGCAGUGAUCUGUAUCCGGCCUGAGAGGGCGCACGGACACACUGGAACUGAAACACGGUCCAGACUCCUACGGGAGGCAGCAGUGGGGAAUUUUGCGCAAUGGGGGAAACCCUGACGCAGCAACGCCGCGUGGAGGAUGAAGUCUCUUGGGACGUAAACUCCUUUCGACCGGGACGAUAAUGACGGUACCGGAAGAAGAAGCCCCGGCUAACUUCGUGCCAGCAGCCGCGGUAAUACGAGGGGGGCAAGCGUUGUUCGGAAUUAUUGGGCGUAAAGGGUGCGUAGGCGGUUCGGUAAGUCUUGUGUGAAAUCUUCGGGCUCAACUCGAAGUCUGCACGAGAAACUGCCGGGCUUGAGUGUGGGAGAGGUGAGUGGAAUUUCCGGUG